GAGGCAAGGAUUGCCACAAUUUGAUUUCAUUCUCAAUCAUUUAUUGUAUUUCAUUGGUGCCUCAAAUUAUGUGUGGUUAAAUAUUUGUUCUGUUUGUGAUUUUUCCUCCAUUCAGAAGCUUGAAGAGAAAUUCAACGCCAAUCAAAUACAAAAAUUGCAGAAGCAGGUAACGCUCAAGGUUGUACACUGUUUCCGAGCAUCCCUUUCAUCUUCUGAAAAGUUUCUCUCACCUACAUCAUGUAUCAAUGAAGAUUAUGGAUGUAGUUUCACUAAAAUUAAACAUAACAAUUUGAUUCACUUGAGCAGGAGAAAGCAGAAACAGAAAUCAGAAAACUGCGUCAAACCCUAUGCUUUAAGGCCAGGCCUCUGCCAGAUUUUUAUAAAGAAAGAGCAAUACCAAAGAGUCAGACGAAUAAGGUACCUUCUGUCAUUUCAUUUUACAGACCUCUCCGGUAUUCUUAUAUGGUGCUGUUAUGUCAAAUCUAGUAGCAUAAAUAUCGCCAGGAUCCAGAGUGCACCUGCAACAAGUUCUAAGAAUGAAAUUAGAAAGUGUAUAAGCAGCACGGUCAAUGCAGAAUUCUUCAUUUGUGCAAAUCCAUUGUCUUAGAAAAGAACUUGUGUUACUUGACCUCUCUAGGAAAUUAUAGAUGGGAAGCAUUCUUCAUCAAUGAUUCUGGCACAGUCGCAACAUCUUUUCUUCUUACUUUCCCCAGAUAUUUUGCUUACAAUCACUCUACAAAUGUAAAGCGUUUUAUAAUCUUCCCCAAGUUUUGCAUUUUGAUCAGCAGAUGUCACGAUGAAAAAUUUUCUUUUCUCUUGUUUCUUGUAGGAUCCUCCGACACGUCCUCAGUCACCAAAACUCACAGCAAGUACUUUCCAGACAAAACCAUCCACACCUCGUCAGAGGCCUCCAACUAAGCACAUUGGUUCUGAUCAUGUCCUUGAAAAGAAAAGUCACGCUUCAACUCGUUCUCUUGCUUCAAGACCAACAAAGAUUACUCAUGAGAAUAAGUCUCCAAAUAUUCAGCAUGAGUACCAAUCUACGAAGU
rnacentral:lncRNA from 1 species